UUCAGGGGUGGCUAUACUCCACUCCCAGCUUCCUUCCCACUACAGGUUCAGGCAGACCACACAGCAGGAGCCUCCAGGGACUUAUUUAAGUCCACAAAGCAGAUCUGGCUCCCUUAACCUUGAGAAGCAAAACACUGAAGAAGAUUCUUGCUUCCUUUGUCAGACGGUCUGAAUCCGGCUCAGGCGCUUCACAGAGAGGCUGUUCAGCCUGCUGCAGGUCCAUCCUUGAAUGCUAAAUAAGCUCCCAGACUGCAUACUUUCUCUCAGCGGAGCUUAAAAAGAAAUGUCUGUCAGUGCACUGAGAUGUUGGCAUGGCAACCUGGAAAGAAAAAUCUGCAGCCCCUGGCAAUCUUAGGAGUAGUAGCAGCUUGUUUAUGUGACUUGUUAUUUUUAAAUGAUUUGGUGGCAUCUGCCCUUUUUACUUGGGAAAAUGUGGGAAGACGUUCUUGCUUUGUAUGUAUGAAGGAGAGUACGUAUUUAAUUUUUUGCAUGCCAUGGUGUAGCUAAAUGCAACUAGACAUAUAUUUACAGGGGGCAGAGGGGGAUCAUGUGCUGUGCUAGAGAAAUGCUGGUCUGACUUGCAGUGUCUUCUGUUUGGGUUCAUGACUGCACUUAGCAGUACUUAAAAGUGCAUAAAAAAUCCACACGCAUUAGUUAUCAUAAAGGGAAAAAGCAAUCUACAAAGAAUGUAGGUGACUUGGUUAAUGACUGGCACAAGACUUGCUCUAGGCAUUGGCAGACUCCCCAAUCCAGGAUCCUGGGAGACCAUGAAGCUCUCAACUGCUUAUGGCUGCUAGCAGAGGACAAGGAAGCUGUAAAAUGAGACACAAAAUCCUCUUGGGCCACAGUCCAUGAUUGCAGGCAGCAAAGCUGCACCGCAGAGGGAUCUGCCUUCUCCCUUUGAAGUAGAAGGGAAAUUUGCAGACUUUCAUCCAACUAGCUGAUUUUACUCUGAUUAAAACAAGAACCCCCAGAACCCCUGAAAAAUAAUGCUUUGUGGUUUUUUAAUGGACCUUUGGUGAGAUCCUCUCAACUCAGUUCUGUACGUAAUGGAAAAUUAUAUUCCAUUUGUACAGAGUCUAGUGCAACAAGCCCUGAUUUUGAGCAGAACCUCUAGAUGCUAUUAUACUAUUAUUGAAAUUCCUACUACUCCUGGUAGAUGGCUGGUUCUAAGCAAAUAUUGAGGCAAAAGCUCACAACCUCAACCAAACCAGCAGAUGGUGGAAUAGUAGCAGGUAUGCUGAAAGGCAAGGCUUUGUCCGAGAUGGAGGAUGGAAGGAUGAGAUGGUUAGCAAUAAAAACAUCAACAUCUUAGUAAUAAAUAUAACUGGGUCUGGUGCCCAGUUCAGAAUACUUUAUUUGACAGGAUCUCUCUUUUCCGGACAGCAAAUGAAGCAUGGAAUCAAAAGAAGUAGAGACCAGUCAGCCAGAUAUCCACCUGUCCUCAGUGCACAAUGCUUACUCUAAAACUUGGCCAUAUUACAUGAGAAGGGUAUCAUUAGAAUAUUUUAAAAUACAAUUUCAAUAAAGAGCAAUUUUAGGGAAACAUUAUGCUAAACAGUGUGAUUGGAAUAAUAUGUUAUUAAAGAUAUUUUACUUAGAA